CAGUUCAGAGGAAAACACCUAACAACAACCUCAACAAACACAACAACAACAGCAAAAGGACGAAGCGUGAGCCAGAAAUUCCAUCUGCGUGAGUAUGCUGGGAAAAGCCUGGCGAGGAAUCCUGGUUGGUGAAAAACAGAUUCGGUGCUUAUUGUUCUGCUCUGUAAGUCACCAAAGAAAUGUGGGCGUGUGCUGCUGGAAAGAAAAUAGACUUCCACAAAAAGUAUGAAUCACUUUUGUUAAUUGUCAAAGAAAAUAUAUAUUAAGUGAUUACUUAGCUUCUGGAAUUAAAACAAAAUGAAAACAAA
rnacentral:lncRNA from 1 species